rnacentral:rRNA from 1 species
AUGGAAAUGGCAGCAUGCUUCUCCUAUGGUCUGACGAGGGGGAACCGCCGCUGCCGCAAGCCGGUGUGCCUCAUCGAGGAAUCCCAGGAGGCGCUGGACGAAGAGGCGUGGCUGCGCGAGUUUGCCCUCGUGUUCACCGCCAUGGGCUUGCCGGAUUUGGUGCCCGCGGACGUCGCGGCGGCUGUCCGCAUGGAGUUCCCAGAUGUGCCCUCCAACGGCCUUCAGGUCUCCCUGAUGCAGACGGGCUCGUUCUUCGUGCGCUUCGCUCAUCGCUGGUGGUUCGACUUGGUGCGUGGCCACGAUAUGGUGCACGCCCACGGCACGCCCCUGCUGGUCCGACGGUGGAACCGGUUGACCUUCAUGACCUUCGUCAAGUGCCGGUACAGCAUGCGGCUCUUCAUCCAGGGCAUCCCGCCGCACGAGUUCAGCCUUAACACCGCCCAAGACCUGCUUCCGAAUGCCUCUUCUACCAGGUGGCCAUUGGGUCCCUCGACAAGCUUGACAUGUCCUACUUCGUCGCCCGGGCCUGGGUGGGCGACCCCGACGAGGUGCCGACAGAGACCGUGCUCACCGUCUGGCCCGCACCCACUGCUCCGACCCGCUGGCGCACGUCUCCCUCCCGCCAGGCUUUGGGCUGGAUGGGGAGGAGGGGAGAACUGCGCCUGCACCGAGCACCUCCCUAGCAAGCUUCACUACUCGGUGCUCGUCCACGUCGACUCCGUCACCUACUACCCUCCCCGCUCUGAGUAUGCGGUCCGGCGCGAUGGGGGCGACGAGGACGAUGAUGCAUCGCCGCCCGAAGAGCUGCCGCACCCGUCGGAGCACGGGACUCCCAUAGACGUCACCAGGGCCCGAACGGGCUUAGGCCUCUCGCUGGCCGAACGGAAGGGCCGCCGCCGAAAUGGUCGCCCUACUCCGGCCACUACAGGCGGGUGCCCGGCGUGUUGCAGCCCGAAGAGAUCUAUGGCAAGGCCAACCGCGAGCUUUCUUCCCCUAUCCUCAUGCCGGCGGACGCAGACGAGUGUCCCGGCGACAACGCCUCCCUCGGCGGCUCGUCGAUGGCGGAGCCGCGCGCGGUGGUUGCAGACGUCGAGCCGGCUAUGCUGCAUGCGGGCGUCAUGUCACGCACCCCACGCGUGGGGCCCCCUAUGCUGCAGGCCCUGGUGGUCCAGCCUCUGGUGCAUGAGGACACAGGCGGGGCCCUGUCCCUGGUGGGCAUGGGGCAUCUGUCCCAGUCUCCGGGGGAGGCAGCUGACAGCGGGGUGCGGGCACCCACUUCCCCGCCAAUGA